CAAAGGACCAGUAGGAAACACAUGUUCUCUGUUCCCACCUGUGAAAACCAGAGCUCUCCUGAGGUGCAGGGUUCAGGGAAGUGGGAAACAGAUGGUCCUUUACUGGGAGCCUGAUAGCAUUGUUUGCGUCAACCCCCUCCCACCAGCAGGAAGUAUUCCUUGGGGAACUGGGAGGGAGGCUUUCAGUAGCUAGCCAAGAGCUGGAAGAAGGGGCUUAUAGUGACUAUUUACACUGUUUUUCUUAUAGUACAGCCCUUAAAGUAUCUCCAUUGUCUUUGUGCUGCUGUUCCUGCCAGGGUUCCCAAGAAGCCAGGAGCUGAGCCCCACGGGGCAUGUGCAUGCUUGUGAGGUUGUAUGCAGGUGUUAGGGAAGCACACUUUAGAGGGGUCUAGAGCACCGGGCAUGAUCAAAGCUAAAAGUAAUCUCUACUCCUGUAUCCUCUUUUGCUUUUUAAAUGUGCCCUGAAGUCCCAAGACUUACCUGAGUGGCCACAGCUGCCCUGUAAGUUUCUGGAUUAAAGCCCAACAAUCAAGACUGUCAACAGCCAGCUUUGUGGUACCAAGAAUCAAGACCGACCUUCAUCCUCCAGGAGGUCCCUGGGUGGGUGGGAUGCGAAGAGUCCUGCAUCCAUGAGAGAAUAUUGCCAUGCCCAUCCCACAGGCACAGAGUUAGAGGCUACUAGCAAGAGCCACCACAUUUCAACCUUGCUGUAAAGAGCAGACCGGCUAGCUGCUGUUCAGACAUGGAUAUCUGACAAGACCCUGGGCAGAGGUUCCGAGUUUAAGGAAAAUAAGGCAGAGAGCUCAGUAACAACGAGUCAAAGCUGACGAUGUCCCUGCAUGUUUCCAUCUCUGCUCUCCACUGCAGCAUGGUGCAAACCCGAAGUUCACCAUGGGGCUUAACUAAGAAGCUGCCAUUUGUGCUGAGAGGAGGAAGGUUCUACAGCCUGUAUCCACAGGUGAGUGUGUCAACAGGAAGUUGACAUGGCAGCUUUUCCUCAUCAUAAGAGAAAAGAAAUCGUGGCUGGCCUUCUCAGCUCCAGAGAGGUAGCAUUGGAUAUCUUGGGUU